UUUUGGACAAUGGGCGCAAGCCUGAUCCAGCAAUGCCGCGUGAGUGAAGAAGGCCUUCGGGUUGUAAAGCUCUUUUGUCAGGGAAGAAACGGUGAGCUCUAAUACAGUUUGCUAAUGACGGUACCUGAAGAAUAAGCACCGGCUAACUACGUGCCAGCAGCCGCGGUAAUACGUAGGGUGCAAGCGUUAAUCGGAAUUACUGGGCGUAAAGCGUGCGCAGGCGGUUAUGUAAGUCAGAUGUGAAAUCCCCGGGCUCAACCUGGGAAUGGCAUUUGAGACUGCAUGGCUAGAGUGUGUCAGAGGGGGGUAGAAUUCCACGUGUAGCAGUGAAAUGCGUAGAGAUGUGGAGGAAUACCGAUGGCGAAGGCAGCCCCCUGGGAUAACACUGACGCUCAUCACGAA
rnacentral:rRNA from 1 species